rnacentral:rRNA from 1 species
UACGUAGGGGGCGAGCGUUGUCCGGAUUUAUUGGGCGUAAAGCGCUCGCAGGUGGUCCGAUGCGUCGUGCGUGAAAGACCCCGGCUCAACUGGGGGGCGUCGUGCGAUACGGUCGGACUGGAGGCCAGUAGGGGGAUGCGGAAUUCCGGGUGUAGUGGUGGAAUGCGUAGAGAUCCGGAGGAACACCAGCGGCGAAGGCGGCAUCCUGGACUGGUCCUGACACUCAGGAGCGAAAGCGUGGGGAGCGAACAGG